GACAAAUUGGACAUCUCACCAGGACAGACCAAAAGCAAAUUUUGGCCAGUUUGAAACCCAUCUGUAAAUCUACUAGGAUCGUCUGAAAGUUACCAGGAUUUUGGAAGAUUUUUCCCAGUUGUUUGGUUUGCCCCAGCCCUAAUCUCCUACCUCCAUGCUUCUACAUUGAAAAGUGCUGAAUACUUCUCAAACAUUAGCACAUCCUGUAGCCACCAGAUCAGGAUUAACCAAUUUCCAAUUGGGUCUGGCCAAAGAAAAGCACUGACAAGAGACUGGAAAAUAGGAGUACAACAGAAAGACUGAUGAACUAAUUCCCUUGGCUGCUCUUUGAUCAGUGACAUUGCAAGGCAGAAGGUCAUAGCUCCCUCCAGGAAGUCCUCUCCUAAUGUUACUGUUCCCCUGGUUUGACUUAGCCCUGCCUCUCCUUGAUUUUUUUCUUUCAUUUUUGAAAUGGGAAUAGCUUCAUGCUAUUGCUAGUUCUGUUGUCCUCAUCUCUUGUGAUUUCUGUAUACUGUAUCUUGUCACAUUGUCAGACUUCUCUAACUCUGUCCAGGGUGAGCAGAUCCCCCUAACUAGGUGCCGCAGAUGUAUAAGAAAAGUAAGAAAAACAUCAAACCACAAGAGCCAAAAUUCUGUGAGGGAGGGCC